rnacentral:lncRNA from 1 species
GGGAAACUCUCUGAUUCGUGUGCAGCAGUGGCAUGCGGUAAAUUUAAUUCUGGCCGGUCUGUGUAAAUAUAAAUAACGCGGCUAUUUUCACGCCACAAUGAAAGAAUGCAACAGAAAACGAAGGAGGAACAAACAAAUGAUAAGAUGAGCUCUUUUUUACGAAGCAGUAGAAAGUAUCUCAUCAAAUAGCACGCAUGCCUGGUUCCUUAAAGUAGCAGUUACAUUCCUAAACCAAAAUACUCCAAUCAUAUUAAUAGGGCGGCUUAAAAAAUAAUCUGGACAAGAUCCUGUUGGGGAAAUAUCCACCCUCGCUUCUGCUCCGAUCAGUACUUUCAUGGUAUUUAUUACACAGCCACAGGGUGGAGAUGCAUCAAUUUUUAAAUCUUUAGUCAGGAUUGGAGACUUAUGGCAGGUUCUGGGGGAAUGUUUCAUUAAGACCCCGUCUAAAGUUCCUUUGGUGACUCGUUGCUGGGUCAGCGCGCCGCGCGGCCCAGGGUCCGGAGCUCCUGCCCCUUUGUUACGCAGUGGACCCCGCCGGCAGGCCCGGCCCCACGCCCACGGGCACCUCUGGGCUUCCAGAAACAGCCCCGGAGUCCACACGGGCUCCGACCGCCGAGCCGGGGUCUGGUCACACGGGCAGGACACUACACCCACGCGGGGAUGCCCGGGGCCGGCGCCCUCCAGCACCUCCCACCCAAACACCCGCGGUGCCCCCGGCCCGGACCGGAUCAGCAGGUUUCGACUUGAAUCCGAAAGCGCCUCUUGUGCCCAUUCUUUGCAGGAGGACACUCGGAGGAGCCAGCGUCUCUAUUUAGACUGCCGUGUGCCUAUCUAGCUGCAGACUCGGGUAAAAGCGUGUCCACGUCUACGGCAUACAGCUGUGCAAAGCAGAAGCCUGCGGAUGCGCGGGGCUGGUCGGACUUAGUGUGCAGACACAUGGGCGCAUGCACGCGCGCGCGCGCACACACACUCACACCCCAAAUUACCUCCGGAAUGGAGAAAGCCGCUGCGGAUUGGCCGACAGAGCCGUCAGUCACACCCAGGGGGCAGGGAGAUUUUGCAAGGCUGUUUCCUUCCCCCCCCCUCCCCACCCCCCCGUUUCAUUUAAUGGUAAAACAACAGCAGAGCUCUGAAAGUUAGCCAUCUGCGCCGAGAGAGUUUGGCUUCUUUAACGAGGGGGAUGUCAGACAGUAUCCAUUUAGGUAUAUUUUGUACUUCCACAGUGGAUGAAAA